AUUCCACCGCUAGCUAGCCUGGCUCUCAGAAGCCAGAGGCCCCCCCCAUCCUGUGGGAGGAACUCAAGAGCCUGGAUGGGAACGGUUUAUCCCCACAUCUCCAAAGAGGGGACUUACCAGCAUCCAUCGCACCAGCCAGGACCCUCAGCUGGCAGAGAAAUUAAAGUUGCAAUAUCUGUGACUUUUCAAGGGCCCUAGAGAGGGGAUCUGGUUGGAGUAGCUCUCAUGAAGGCAAUACCAGAGGAAGCUUCUGGAAUGCGCACCACCUGCAUCUCCAGGAAGAACACAACAAAUGAAGCAUGCCCAAGGAAACACAGAUCAAGACACUGGAGCUACUGUGUCACAGAUGACUAAGAGUCAUGAGCUCAGUCUUCACUCUCAGUCUGAAGAACCCAGUGGUGGAACUGGAUCCAUUCAGCUGCUGCCAUGAGGAACCCUGACAUUGUGCAUGUAUGUGAGAGGUGCCCAGAGGAAGUGGAAACUGAUAAGGGGAAGAGGUGGCUGCAGAGCUGAGGAGACCAGAAUGGCUCUAUAAAGAGAGUGCCCAUGGGAGCUGGAAGAGGAUGCCAGGUCUCUUGGAACUGGAAUUAUAGAUGGUUGUAAGCUGCGACAUGAGUCCUUUGAAUGAUCAGCCAGCGCUCUUGACCACUGAGCCACCCAUCCAGUCCCUGUACAAUCAAUGCUCCUUAUCCAUGGAAGUUCAUGUUCUACAGAGUUACCACAAACACUGAGAUAGUAGGUUGUAAGUCACUGCUCCUGCACAUCCUGGGAAACACAGACCUCUACUGCUGCGGCCCACAGACCAAGCAGCACAAUGCCUUUCAUUGUGUUUCUACUAAAAGACAUGCCACAGCCUUCUUGUACUUAGGAACACCAGGCCUUGUUUCAAAACAUGCUUGGGAAUACAUUAAGGAAUAAAAUGAUUAAGGAAAAGCACCAAAAUGCAAAAGAAAGUGAAACUAAGACCUACCAUGGUUUAUUUUUAGUCUUUUGCAUCCUUCUGAGAGAGGUUCUUCAAACAUCUGGUGGACCUUGAUUGGCCUUUGUCAGAGGGAGGCCUUAAAAUGCUCAGUGGAAGCUUCAUGUGUAUGAGUGAUGGGCUGGGGGCUGUCUGUAGGAUGCUAGGGUUGGGUGCUGGUCAGGUAGGCUCCUAUAAAUGGUCUCUGUUAAGGUCUCUUCUGUGGCGUGAGUCAGUCAUUCCCUCUCUAGCCACACUGUGACUAGUUAAACUGUCCCUUUCAGCUUCCUAUGUAAAGCACAAGGCUGCCCACCGUGCUGCUACUUCUGACUGACCUCCUAGAAGCAAGUAACUUAAUCUUUCAUUUAGAUGUUUGUGCCCCCCCCCAAGUCCUUGGAAUGCACCCCAUCGUUGGGGCUCUACUGUAGUCAUAUUUCCCUCCACACUCAUUCUCUUGCUCUCUGUCCCAGGGCGCAGCUAGUCCCCCUCUGUUGUCUGCUCUUUUGUCUCUUUUUGACUUUCAGUGGACAUCCUAUAUUCUGUGACAACUGGAUUUCCUGCUUGCUCCACCAGACCUCUGUUUUCUGAGGCAUGCUUUUACUCUCUUACCUGGUCUUGGUCUGGUUAGUUCCUUUGGUGAAACCUUAGCUUUUUGAGGUGAUAGACAACAGUAAUAUUGUGUGCCUUCAUCUGUUUUCUGUUGCUAUAGCAGAACUCCUGAGACUGGGUAAUUAACAAAUUGGAGGUCAUAUGGCUUACAGUUCCAGAGUCUGAGGUCUCCCAGAACAUGGUGAGUGCAUCUCCUUGGCAGGUGUCAAGGGUCUUCUUCCUGUGUCAUACCCUGGUGCAUAGAGUCAGGUGAUGAGACAGAAUAGGUAUGCACCAGCUCAUAUCUCUCUUCUUAGAAGUCCAUCAGCAACAUUGUCCCAUGUUGGUGGCCUCAUUUAAUCCUCGUUACUUCUCCAGGACUCCACUUCUAAACAUCCUCAAGUUUACAUUUGGGUACUGAUUUUCAGGAUGUGUAUUAGAGGAUUUAUUUGAAGUACGGUCCUGUGAUUCCCAGAAGUCAUGGAAGUGGUAUGGAUCUGUUGACAUUGCUAGGGUUUGAACCUAACCCAGGGGCCUACCCUUUGCCAGAGACUUACAGAGCCUAACAAAACUUUUCCUACUCUACACCAUCCAUGAUAAUUCUCAAGAAUGAUAGACACGGUUAUACCCCGAAGCCAGGAUGAACUUAUUACCUGAAGAAACGGCAGGAAAAUGUUGAACGUAAGAGCCUUCAGGCUUUCUCUGUGGUUGUCUUGCUGGGGAACUGUUCAGUUACAAGCAGAAGUUCCAGAUGGAUUUAAGGUUUCCCAGAGCCAUUAUACCUGGAUGACUUGAGAAUCCAUCACCAACAGGCCAGAAGACUGCCAAGUUCCCAUGAAUACAUAUUAACUAGGGCUGAGAUAACAAUUCUACUUCCCCCUCCAAUGUGACUCUACGUGAUGACUGGUGGCUGUCUCAAGUGCUUGUUAAGGGUUGGGAGGUCUUAACCAGGUCCAGCCAUAUGAAAGGGUCCUGUGAUCAAUUAGUGAUGCCUGCUAUAGGCAGUUAUUCGCUAGCCCAGAACCAGGGAAAGAUGAAAGAGACAUGUUCUAAGACAGUGUUUCCCAAACUUGGUUGAUGCGAAGAAUUACCUCGAGGUACUUUUUAAAAAUAGAUUCCAGGUUCUUUAUCAGGAGCUAUGAAUCCAAGUGCUUCAGAGUGAGGUGUGGGGAUCUGAACUUAGUGUGUUCAUGCAUCUGUCUGUCUGUCUGUCUAUCUGUCUGUCUGUCUGUCUGUCUGUCUGUCUGUCUGUCUGUCUGUCUGUCUGUCUCACUUUCUGCAAAUCUGGAUGUAGAACUCUCAGAUACCUUUCCAUCACCAUGCGCAUCUUCAUGCUGCCAUGCUUCCCGGAAGGAUGAUAAUGGACUAACCCUCUGAAUAUAUGCAAGCCCCAAUUAAGUGCCUUCUUUUCUAAGCAUUGCCAUGGGCAUGGUGUCGCUUCACAACAAUUGAACAUUGAUUAAGACAGAAGCCAAAUGUUUUCUGUGAGCUGCCCAGGAGAAAGGUCCAUAUAGCAAGAAACAGAUAUCUUCAAUCCAACAACCUGAAGGAAUAUGAUCUUGUCAACAGCCCUAUAAGUGAAUGUGGAAGUGACUGACCUGGGAGGUGACUAAGCCCCAGUGGAUGCAUGAGAAAUCUUGAGCCAUGACUUAGCUCAUUUAUUACAAUCAAUAAGCCAUUGUUUUACAGCAUUAACUAAAGUGCACAGUCCCUAGAAGGUCACUUUUUGUGUUGUGCUUUCUAUGGGUCUUGGCAUGUAUCUGUUAUUACAUGGCAUGUAUCUGUUGUUACAGUUAUUACACGCAAGAGUUCCAUGGCUCUAAAACACACUGAACUUUCCAUGUUCAUUCCAAAGCCCCUAGCAACCACAGAUCCUAUUGUUGUCAUAGUUCCUUCUGGUCUGGAAUAACAUGUAGUCGGGAUUAAACAAUAUGGAGACUC
rnacentral:lncRNA from 1 species